rnacentral:rRNA from 1 species
AUUGAACGCUGGCGGCAUGCUUUACACAUGCAAGUCGAACGGCAGCGCGGGCUUCGGCCUGGCGGCGAGUGGCGAACGGGUGAGUAAUGCAUCGGAACGUGCCCAGUAGUGGGGGAUAGCCCGGCGAAAGCCGGAUUAAUACCGCAUACGACCUGAGGGUGAAAGCGGGGGACCGAAAGGCCUCGCGCUAUUGGAGCGGCCGAUGUCGGAUUAGCUAGUUGGUGGGGUAAAGGCUUACCAAGGCGACGAUCCGUAGCUGGUCUGAGAGGACGACCAGCCACACUGGGACUGAGACACGGCCCAGACUCCUACGGGAGGCAGCAGUGGGGAAUUUUGGACAAUGGGGGCAACCCUGAUCCAGCCAUGCCGCGUGCGGGAAGAAGGCCUUCGGGUUGUAAACCGCUUUUGUUCGGGAAGAAAUCCUCUGGGGUAAUACCCCGGGGGGAUGACGGUACCGGAAGAAUAAGCACCGGCUAACUACGUG